GUGGCAGGCUGAUAUGUUCUUCUGUCUGUCGGUCUGUCUCCAUCUCCUCCGUUUCUGUUUCCGGGACGGUGCUGCUGCCGCAUUACUGUACACACAGGCACCUCUACACACAACAAACAAUAUCCGUCUGAGAAUAACUAAUAAUAAUUAAUGUUGAAUAUGAAUUGUGGGAUUAUUCCUUAUUUCAUGGGCUAUUUUGGGAUUUAUACAUUACGAUAACAUACUUAUAUAUAAAGCAAACCCAAAACGAGGCGUUCAAAUACUGAUUUGGAGGUUGAUUACAAUAGCAACGGUCGAAACGGGAGUCUCCUAGGAAAA